UGGUCAAUGAUGAAAAUCUAAUGUAAUGAAGAUUGGUAAUGACAUAAAAAUCAUGCUCAAUAGGAUUACACUGAGGUCC